GACAGAGGGUGCAAACGUUGCUCGGAAUCACUGGGCGUAAAGGGCGUGUAGGCGGACUUGUAAGUCGGGCGUGAAAUCCCUGGGCUCAACCCAGGAACUGCGCUCGAAACUGCGAGUCUUGAGUACCGGAGAGGAAGGUGGAAUUCCUGGUGUAGAGGUGAAAUUCGUAGAUAUCAGGAGGAACACCAGUGGCGAAGGCGGCCUUCUGGACGGUAACUGACGCUGAGACGCGAAAGCGUGGGGAGCAAACAGGAUUAGAUACCCUGGUAGUCCACGCUGUAAACGAUGAACACUAGGUGUCGUGGGUAUUGACCCCUGCGGUGCCGUAGCUAACGCAUUAAGUGUUCCGCCUGGGAAGUACGGUCGCAAGACUAAA
rnacentral:rRNA from 1 species